GAUCUCUCUCCCCCUUGGGCUAACCAUUCUGCCCUGUACAGACGUGCUUAUCUCUGGUAUUCUAUAAGCACGAGAAGCUCGACUCUACAGGUCAGAACAGGCCUAUUCAUACUUUGAUUU
rnacentral:pre_miRNA from 1 species